CACGCAGGCGGUCUGUCAAGUCGGAUGUGAAAUCCCCGGGCUCAACCUGGGAACUGCAUUCGAAACAGGCAGGCUAGAGUCUUGUAGAGGGGGGUAGAAUUCCAGGUGUAGCGGUGAAAUGCGUAGAGAUCUGGAGGAAUACCGGUGGCGAAGGCGGCCCCCUGGACAAAGACUGACGCUCAGGUGCGAAAGCGUGGGGAGCAAACA
rnacentral:rRNA from 1 species